UCCAAACAAAACCCUGGUGCGCCUUUAAAGCCUCGCUUUCUCCCCCGGAGAGAGCGGGAACGACAACCAAAGAAAAUAAUAAACCGACUUCCAAAGCCGUCCGAUCUCCCCGAUGCUCCAUCCCUCCACUUCUUUUCCCCUUCCCCUCCUUCCGGCUUCCCCUCUCUCCUGUCUCCCGAUGGCCACCGAGGGUUUCCUCCUCGCCUCCCAGGAACUCGGGCCCCUCCGGCGGCGCCGCCGCCCCUCGGCGCCUCCACUCCCGCCUUCCGUCCUAGAUCCAUGACCCGGCGUCCGGAUCUCCGCCAUCCCUUCGUAUACGGUGUACAUAUACGGCAGACAGGGUGAAGCCAGGCAGCAGUCUUUAUCUCGGCCGCUAACAGAUAUACCUUUUUGGGUUCGCUCCUCGUUCCCCUCUCGCACAUAGAUUUCGUCGCUCUCUGGGAAAUGUGAUGCUUCUUAGCUUAUUUUAUUUGAUCCCCUCUAUUUACUUUCACAAAUGUGAUUAGGUUUUGUUGUGGAGGAAAUCUUUCUUUGCUCGUCUUGUAUGAAUCUUGAUGUUCUUUCCUCCGUUUGAUCCCCAAAUGUACAUUCUCUAUGUUUUUAGUUAAAUAUCUAUGGCUGUUUCUCUCUAUAUCUAUGGAAAAUCUUUGAUCUUUCUUGCUAGUAGCAGUCGGGUGUUUGUCAAUUUGAUAUUUUUCUACCUGUGUGAGGUUUCGUUUUGUGAUUUGUUGGAGCCUUUGAUUUGAGUUUCUUUCGUAUGUGCUAUAAAAUUUUGGAAUUGAACGAAAAUUUAGAUGCGGAAUAUAUUAGCAAUAUAUGACUGUGUGAUGGCACUUUCCAUGAUAUGUUUGGAAAUAAAAAACAAAGUUCUUGUUUCUAAUGCUUUAUAUGGAUGGUUGAGUGCUAAUCUUCCAUUCAUGUCAUUUUUUCCCCUAAUUUGUGAUCUUUAACAUUUGAGUAAAACAUAGUUGUUUUUUUAAAAACGUAUUUGGUUAAGUCCACCCCAUUUUUGUUUUAGGAUUUGAGAAUCCACCUAUCGAGGUUGCCAUCUGAUCAGUCAGGGGUCAAUCCGAAGGUGUGAACAAUGUUGGGGAGAAGAUUAUAUUGUUCUCAAAAGGUUGGAUUGGUAGUGUAAGUGACAAGAAGUGAUGGAAGAUAAUGCCUGUGCUUAGUUUUUUAUUCUUGUAAGCUGAACCUUGUUGAUCGUUUGGAGAGGAUGCCAUCCUUGGGAUCCUUCUUUUAGCGUUUUAAUUCAUGUUCUUAAUGAAUUAGUCCCAUUUUUUUUCUAAAAAAAAUUAUCCAUCUUCUUAUGGUUGUUGCAGUACUUGUUUCUAAUACGCUUAAGUGGUUUUACUUCAUAUCACCGAAGUAAGAUUCUACACCAACAUAUUGGGGUGAUUGACAAUGAAUUUUAAGUUUGAGAAUAACUUGUUAAAAUUCCAGGUUGCAAGGGGAUAGCUUUGUUUCCAAUCUAAAUGAACCUGAAAAUAACUGGGACUAAUUUGGACAGAAUCAUUUCAAUCAAACCAGGGUCCGAGUUUCAAGGCUGUUAGGACAUGACCUUUCCCUUGCUUCAAUUUUUUCUACACUUAUACUUUAUCUCUUAGCUAGCCAAGAAGGUUCUUAACUUUAUAGUUGAGGUAAUGCUGCUGAUCCACCUUUUUCAAUUUACUAUUUUUUCUCUUUGUCUAGAACGAAAUCUCAGACUAGUAUGGGCAAAGAACCUACUAAUAGUCUGUAUCCCGAGCUGCCAGCUCACUGAACCACAAAAUGCUAGCUGUUUCGCUCUCUGCUGUCCAGUCUGUAUGCUGAAUGGUUCCCUCUGCAAUUAUUUAGGUGAAGUUUGGGGUCUACCAUUUUCAUGUCCAUUGUCUGAUCAUCCAAAUUCGAGCAUAAAGUUUGAUUCAUCCUACCAAUGACUUAAAACAUUUUUUUUAUUAUGCUGGAGAAAAUAAGGUUUCAAUGAUAUCAGGUUCUUGUUUGCUUUUUUUACUAUAGUAAAUAAGUCAUAAAUCUACUCCCACAUUUGGUUCGUUUAGUACUGGAAGGGGAAACGGGUCCUACAGCAAUUUGUGUUUUGAUAAUGUCAAAUAGAUACAAAAUGCUUACAUUAAUGAUUAUGUCAACAUUGCUUGCCCUUCAUAUUUUAGCAUUUGCAUCUGUAUUUUUUAUCUAAUUUACUUGACCAUUGCUAGUUUCAAUGCUUUUGCCGCUUAUAUCUGAUGAAACAUCAGGUACCUUUGCAAAAAAUUUUGGAUCCUGAGCUCCCCUUCUUCUGGCAUAGAAUUUUUCUCCUGACUUUUUCAACUUAAUCUGCUGGUCUCAAUAUGUAUCAUUGAUAGUAUAAGCUUCUUCACAUUGAUUGCAAGUCACUUUAGGUUCCUAGAUGGUAUUGUUUUUAAGUGGAUGCUUUUGAUUUUACCAUCUCUUACCCUAGCACAGUGCAAGUAUUAUCAUCAUCUGAUUCUUCAGUAGUUCUUGCGAAAACUUCUAUGUUGCUUGGUUGCCUAUCUGCUUUGAUCUCCAAGUGACCAUUUCUUACUCCCGUUUCUCUUCCAUCCUCUCAUUGAGACUUCAAACCUAUAUAAUGUCAUGAAGGCUGCAUCCGGCAAUCUUUCUCCUGUCUAACCCUAUUGCAUAUGUUGUUCAGGUUGUCUUUGAUGCUUCAACUCUGCUGUGUUGUGAUAUAUUGGAUAUACUUUAGAGGAUAAUAGUCCAGGUUACAUAUGGUUGAAUUACCAAUUUUAUUUUUUCUAAUAGUAGAACAUAGAUCAAGUAUUUUGAUUUUGCUUCCAAUUGUUUGUAAACAGGAAAUAUAUCUGCUAUUUACAAUUCUUGUACAUCUUUUAUAUAUAAAAAAAGCAAUCAAUAUAGACAAUUGUCAUACUGCCUCUUGGGCAUUUGACAUUUCAAAUAAUGGGAUCAUUUGACCCUAAGCGGGCUUCUCAAUAUGAAUAUUGGCACUGGUGUUCUCCGAAAACUAAUGUGAUGGAGCUGCCUUCCUGCUGAUAUCACCUGUGUUCCUGGUGGGGCCAAAAAUUCUGAAUAGUGUUCAGUGGGAGAAGGCUUUAGCAGUGAAAGCAGGGAUUUGAAGGGGACAAUGGUGGAUGGGUGCUGCUGCAUUAACCUAGAAUUAAGUGAAAGAAAAAUGGCAAGGAGGAGAAGAAAAACAGCUGUACCUGUACCUGUAGAAAUAGAGCCUUGAUAACCUAGAUUGCAGUCUCCUUCUUCACUUGGAUUGAUAAGCUUAAUUUCCAGUCAUGAAAUCUUCCUUUGCAUGGUAUCCAGGAGACUCAAACUUGAGUCUGUGAUAGGUCUCUCCCUAACAUUGAAAGACUACAUUUUUCAUUUCCAUUCUUCUUUUAAAUUAAAACAUUACCGUAAUUUUCCAAGCUUUUGGAAACAAUUUCCAACAACCUACAGCAAAAGUUUAUAAACAUGUUUCACUUAAAUAAAAUAAUAUGAAGAUCAACAAUCACAUCAUUUGCCAAUUCUGCCUUCGUGGUUUUGCUUUGCAAUAAUGUUUGCUGAGUAGCUUUUGAACUUUUGCAAAGACUCAUACUAAGCCCCUUUAAAAUAUAUUGGUCAAGCUCUGCUUAAUAAAUGCUGUUGAUUCGAGAAUGGAUUUUCGAAGUUACAGAAAGUUUGUAGUUCUACUGGAUCAGUUGCAUACAAUGAUGUGUAUCAGAGUAUUAUUAUUAUUUUUUUAUUCCCUAAUUCCAAUUUCUCCCCGCAUGUAUAACUCCAAGACGUUUGAAAUUCAUUGCGUUAUUGCGGUGAUCUCUUUAUGUCAUGAAGGAUCGUGAACUUUCAAGUGUGGUCUAACAAUAGGCAUAAAGUGCGUAAAGAUUUCUAUUACUAAUAAGAAGAUAUUACAAAAGAAGGGGAAGGGAAGACAAGAAGGAAAUAGUGUAAGCAAGUAGGGAGGAAAAACAAAAGAAAAUUAAAAAGCAGUCUUCACUCUAAUUUUCCUGAAGAAGCCUUGUCAGCACUUGAAUCUUUCUCCUUAACAAGUGACAUGUAUGAAGCCAACAUCCUCUUAAUAUUCCUGUUCAGUUCCAUAGGUGGGCUGCUGGAGUUUCUAAGGACUCUUCUAUUCCUUGCCAGCCAAAUUUGCCAGCAACCUGCAGCAACUAUCAUUUCUCAUCCUCUCCUCCAGGCUUUCCUGUCCAUUUUUAGAUCUCCAAUGAACCUAGAGAUCCUCAGCCUCCUUGGGUGUAUCUUGUAUCCUAAGGGACCUUUAGAAAUGUUUCCAAAUGCUCAAAACCACCUUGCUCAAAACUUCAAACGCUUUCCAUCCAACAAAUAUGCUCUGUUAUUUAGUAUUUCUUAGUACAGUCAAAUUGCAUGCGUGAACUACAGUUCUAGUACAUUUACAUAUGGCGGUGCUGUCAUAGUGACCCCAGAUUAAUUUAAAUUGAUUGACAUGAGCUUAUAAUAAAGCACAUGCAAACAUUGUGUCUGCCAUAUAGUACAAAGGAUUAGGUAGAUGGAGGAGGAGGUGUUUCUUAAGGCAGUAAGGAUGAUGUCUAAUGUGCCUAGAGUUGUCCUUAUUCUUGCAUCUUUAUAUGACAUAAGGGGAUAAGUAAAUUUGAUAAGGUGAGAAAUGUUCUGCAAGUCUAAUUUGAGGAGUGAAGAAGGAUCAGAAAGGAUGAGCAUAUUGGAUAAAAGGAUUUCUGAUGUGGGUAUCUCUUGAAAUAUAGGAAAGACAUAGUUAUGAGUAUAUAGGAGGUUUUUUAUUAGAAAAAAUGAGAUUGGAAAUUAAUUGACUAUGUACGUCAAAGAACAAAAUUAUAACUUGGUCAAGAUUGGGGCUCAUGUUUGAGCUUAAAAGUAUGUCAAUCAAAGUGGGACUAAGAAAAUGUUGAUGGAAGUGAUGAGAAAUAAUGUCAUGAAGCUUGCUAUAGAAUAUAGUCUUCUUUGGGGCAAAAUGGAUGAGAAGGAUUCCGAUGGCUUGUAGGUUUCCGGAUUAUUAUUAAAGAAAUACCUGAAGCUGAUGCUGAGCCUGCAUUUUGCUAGCAUUCAUAGUUUUUUUAUGUUUCCAUAUAGCAUAUAUAUGACGCUCCUCUCUUCUUUUCUGACAUUGAUAGUUGGCAUUUUAUUAGGUCAUUCAUGUAGCCUUUGCAUCUAUGAUGUUGAACACUGUCAUUUCCUAUCUUAGCAUUGAUGCCAAAUAGCGUUUUUGGUAGGCAGGUGGAUUGUGAACCUGCGCUCAGCUGCUUGGCAGCUGGUAGGCAUCCCUCUCCUCUUAGGAGAAGUCAAGGGUUCAAACCCUGGUGGUGGUAUCCACAACAUGUCUCAAGAAAAAAGGUCAUGUGUGUCAAAGAACUUUGCACCUUGACAUACUAGAUUGGUAAUGAAUCCAGCCCUCUUAUCUAUAGACAUAUCAAAUUCAUCUGAAGUUGGAAGUUUAUUAUAGUGUCUACAACUUCCAUAUUUGUGCAUCAGAAAUCUUGAUUGCGCAUCUGGAUCAGUUUCCACUUGUGGACUGGUAAGCUUCUUGUUUCUCUGACCAUAGAAUUCUCACAUGGCUAUUGUCUACUGAGCUGAAGCAGGACACGCAUCGUGGAAAAUCUUGGCUGGCAUUUUGCUCUGAAAAAUUCAUUUUAGCUCUUUGUUCGGGUGUAGAAGUAUUUGAAAUAUUUUGACAUUAUCUUCUGCUACCCUCUUAACACAUUAGCUGUGCAACUGUCAUUUAAGAUUGUCUGCCUGCCAUAUCUCAGGAACCAUUGCAUCAUGGAGAAUCUUUUGGCUGGAGCUACGCUUUGAAACCAGUUGUUUUAGAUCUUUGUUUGGGUGUAAAGUUAUCUGAAAUGUUUUGGCAUCAUCUUCUGCUACCUCGUUAACACAUGAAAGUGUGACUGUCAUUUUAGAUCAUCUGCCUACCAUAUCUCAGAAAUUAUUGCCAGCUUCAUUGUCCGUUUGCAUAUUCGGUAAUUUUUAUUCCUGGGUACUUGUUUGGGAAUCUAAAUGAGCUAGACCAUAAACCAUCCAUGUGCUUAUUUUCUGUCCCUUAGUAUUUCUUAUUUUUGCUCAACUAUCAUGUCCAAAUACUUUAGACGUAUCACUGACAAGCAACUCAGUUAGAGCUUCAUGAACAAGGUAAUUUUUUGUGAUCUUGCAGUGUAGAAUCCCCGUUGCUGUCUGAAGGCUCCGAGAUUUAAUAAUGCUAUAUUCAAAGUAACCAUGAGAUAUGCUCGAUGAAAAUUUAAGAACAGUAACAAAAGCUGAACAAUCGGAUAAUAUCACUCCCGGCAGGCUUUCAAAG
rnacentral:lncRNA from 1 species